rnacentral:rRNA from 1 species
AAAGGAAUUGACGGGGGCCCGCACAAGCGGUGGAGCAUGUGGUUUAAUUCGACGCAACGCGAAGAACCUUACCAAGGCUUGACAUCCCGGUGAAAGCGGUAGAGAUACAGCUGACCCUUCGGGGACACCGGAGACAGGUGGUGCAUGGUUGUCGUCAGCUCGUGUCGUGAGAUGUUGGGUUAAGUCCCGCAACGAGCGCAACCCCUAUGUUUAGUAGCCAACGGGAAAGCCGGGCACACUAGAGAGACUGCCGUGGAGAACACGGAGGAAGGUGGGGACGACGUCAAAUCAUCAUGCCCCUUAUGUCUUGGGCUACACACGUGCUACAAUGGGUGCUACAGAGUGAAGCAAGGGCGUGAGCCGGAGCAAAACACAAAAAGCAUCCUCAGUUCGGAUUGCAGUCUGCAACUCGAGUGCAUGAAGUUGGAAUCGCUAGUAAUCGCGAAUCAGCAUGUCGCGGUGAAUACGUUCCCGGGCCUUGUACACACCGCCCGU